GACGAACGCUGGCGGCGCGCCUAACACAUGCAAGUCGAACGGAGUUGCGAGAAGCUUGCUUUUCUUAGCUUGGUGGCGAACGGGUGAGUAACGCGUGAGUAACCUGCCCUGGAGUGGGGGACAACAGUUGGAAACGACUGCUAAUACCGCAUAAGCCCACGAUCCGGCAUCGGAUUGAGGGAAAAGGAUUUAUUCGCUUCAGGAUGGACUCGCGUCCAAUUAGCUAGUUGGUGAGGUAACGGCCCACCAAGGCGACGAUUGGUAGCCGGACUGAGAGGUUGAACGGCCACAUUGGGACUGAGACACGGCCCAGACUCCUACGGGAGGCAGCAGUGGGGGAUAUUGCACAAUGGGGGAAACCCUGAUGCAGCGACGCCGCGUGGAGGAAGAAGGUUUUCGGAUUGUAAACUCCUGUCGUUAGGGACGAUAAUGACGGUACCGAACAAGAAAGCACCGGCUAACUACGU
rnacentral:rRNA from 1 species